rnacentral:rRNA from 1 species
GAUGAACGCUGGCGGCGUGCUUAACACAUGCAAGUCGAACGAUGAAGCCCAGCUUGCUGGGUGGAUUAGUGGCGAACGGGUGAGUAACACGUGAGUAACCUGCCCUUGACUCUGGGAUAAGCCUGGGAAACUGGGUCUAAUACCGGAUAGGAACGUCCACCGCAUGGUGGGUGUUGGAAAGAUUUAUCGGUCAUGGAUGGACUCGCGGCCUAUCAGCUUGUUGGUGAGGUAAUGGCUCACCAAGGCGACGACGGGUAGCCGGCCUGAGAGGGUGACCGGCCACACUGGGACUGAGACACGGCCCAGACUCCUACGGGAGGCAGCAGUGGGGAAUAUUGCACAAUGGGCGAAAGCCUGAUGCAGCGACGCCGCGUGAGGGAUGACGGCCUUCGGGUUGUAAACCUCUUUCAGUAGGGAAGAAGCGAAAGUGACGGUACCUGCAGAAGAAGCACCGGCUAACUACGUGCCAGCCGCCGCGGUAAGAC